rnacentral:misc_RNA from 1 species
GCAGACACCAGACUAAUUCUGAGUGGGUACGCCAAGUUCACGUGGUUACUGUUCGAGUCUUUCCUGCUUCUUGUUCCAAUUUCCGCUCCAUUUUUACCCGUGAAAAGCUUUAAAAAUCCUCAUUUUGGAGAUUACAUUUUACGUCCUGAGUUGUACCAAACAAACUUCUCGUUCAUUUGCUAGUGUUUGGUGUUUUGCGGGGUCAACUGACUGAGACGAAACGAUGUCGUACCGCGGCGGUGGAGGCUCGUCAGAUUGCCGGAUUUACGUCGGCAAUUUGCCGUCCAACGUCCGAGAAAAAGAGGUGGAAGAUUUGUUUUUUAAGUACGGCAGAAUAACAAACAUUGACCUUAAGAGCAGGUCCCUUGGACCGCCUUUUGCUUUCAUCGAAUUCGAGGACAGAAGGGACGCUGAGGAUGCAAUCUAUUACAGAAAUGGCUACGAUUACGACAACUGCAGAUUGCGCGUGGAACGUCCCCGUGGAGGAGGACCCCGUGGGGGCUACAGUGGGGGUCGGGAUGGGGGUCGGGAUGGGGAUGGUGGUAGAGGUGGGGGAAGGAGAGGUGGCCCCCCACCCAGGAGAUCGGACUACAGAGUCAUCGUAUCAGGGCUACCCUCUACUGGUAGUUGGCAAGACUUGAAGGACCACAUGCGGGAGGCUGGUGACGUCUGCUAUGCGGACGUGUACAGAGAUUGCACGGGAGUGGUCGAGUUCGUCAAUGAAGACGACAUGCGCUAUGCCUGCAAGAGUCUGUGCGAUUCCAAGUUUCACUCACAUGAGGGUGAUACGUCCUAUAUCACAGUGAAAGCAGACUACAAAGGUGGCCGCAGUCGAUCUCGAAGCCGCUCCCCUAGACGCUACAGUCCAAAGCGAAGUCCGCGCCGAUCCUACAGCCCCAAGCGUUCUAAACGCUCCUACACACGGUCCAGAUCUCGCAGUCGCUCCAAGGGACGCGACAGUCGGUCACGCUCCCGUUAAGUUGUCUGUUGGAGUGGGCGAUCGAGUGUAGUUCCCAUGGAAACCCGGAUACCAAUUACAACAGGACUAGGAAACUAAGGUUGGUUUAAGCCAAAAAUCUGAAACAGAAUUUUGUAAAUGUGUGAAAAUCGGUCGAGAACUUUCCUUUUUUGAAUAUGUGCUCAAUUACAUUCAAUUAUUACACAGAUAUAUCUCAUUAUUUCAAGAGAAGACGUAUGCAUGCGUGUAUAUUCAUUAAGUGUUCUUACUAUGCACAAAAAGAUCCUUCUUUUUUUCAAAUUGUGUAUUUUGACUUGAAGUGCUGUAAAGUAUAGGUUCUGUUAAACAUCCACCUUUUGUAGAAAGUUGAGUCCAAUUUGGCAAUGAAAUUUGAGAGUUUGAUAUUUGUUGAUCUUUGUAGUUGUAUUUUGUAAAAAAAACAAAUCAGGUUUUGAGUAUGUCUCCACCCAUUGCGAUCGGCGUUUGCCUUUUUUAGCUAAAUAGCGUGUUGUACUAGUAGUGUGGUUUAGUUUCUAUCUGAAAAUUAUUUGCAUUGGAAAUACACAGUGGUUUAAAGGCUAAAAAUGUACAUUUUGAAGGUUGAAACUAGACUAGAAUAGACGGUUUAUACAUUCAUAAGUUUUGUAAGGAAUGAAAAGUCACUGUUACUAAAACUGAAAAUGGGAGAUCUUAAUCUUGUUACACACAUACCCCGGUAUACGUAGUCAUCUGAUUAACUUUGUCAUUUUUGACAGAAAUUUAUGUGUAAAAAGUACAUACAUACACAUACCAUCUGCUUGGACAAAAUUAACAUCAAUUUUGAGCAAUUGAAAUUGGUCUGUUUUUGCUCGACUAAAUUUGAUGAUUGGUUGGAAUAUGUCCAGUGUCUGAAUGUAAUUUAGGUACUGAUGCGUAGUGUACCAACACAUAGAUUUCUAGGGUUUAGCAUGAGCUCAAACUGUCUUCAGAAACUAAACAAUUUGUUAACUUUUCAUUUCUAACACUGAAAGAUGUCAGAUAAUUUAAACAUCUGAACUUUUAAGUACCUGUUUAAGUAGGUUUUCUUUAUGUUACGACUUGUGUUACAUGUUACGACUUGUGUUACAGCUAACAACGUUUCAUAUUUUCUCAAUGUCCUCAGUGCCGUAAGGAUGGACAUUCGGAAUUCCGGAUUCCUUAGGAAAAGCACUAGAACUGAGAAGUCCAGGAAUGGCAAUUUUUAGAGGAUUUUUUUUUGUCAUGGCGGGAUGAAGGAAUAGUGGAACAGAUUAUGGAGCAGUCACAUUUUUUGGCACACAAAGGACUCCUGAGAGGGAAACGAAUCAAUGGAGACAUUGGGAACAUUUGAUCUCGAUGUCAAGUUUUGGACAAAUCAUGGAUUGGAUGGUUCAGUCAGUAUUGGAUAGCAAAGGAUUUGAGAGCACGGAACAGAGGGAAGGACACAUUUAAAUCGGAAAAUCCAUAGGAUUCCUCAUGGAAAACAGGAUUCCACAUGGAAAACACAUGAUUCCACAUGAAAAACAGGAUUCCACACGGAAACCAUAGGAUUCCACAUGGAAAACAGGAUUCCACGUGGAAAACAUAGGAUUCUUCAGAGAAAGCGUAGGAUUCUUCAGAGAAAGCAUAGGAUUCCUCAUGGAAAACAUAGCAUUCCACAUGGAAAACAUAGGAUUCCCCACGGAAAACAUAGGAUUCCGCAUGGAAACAGGAUUCCCCAUGGAAAACAAGGAGUUGUGUGGCAGACAAUAUUCCAAAAGAAUCAGAAGUUCCUAUUCUGGAAGAUUCUCACGGAAAAAAACAGGAUCUGAAAGGAUUGGGACUACAUUCGCUUUAAAGGAAAUCCUGAUGCCAUAAGAAAUUAAGGAUCAUGAAGGAUAUUUAGAAUAGCUGGAUUAAAAUUUCUUUCCUAGCUUCCCAUAGAUUCAUAACCGGAUCCGCACUUUUAAGAUCGGAUUUCUCAUGGAAGUCCCUUUUUUCACACUGAUGCCCUUUAACAUUGAAAAACACUAUAAAUUCUUGUAAAGCUUGGAACUUCCCAGUUGCAUACCUGAUCACAGAGUUGAUGGGAAGUGAAUAUAAAUAGAAAGGGAUGCCUGUGAACAAGUUUUGAAACCAAUUUGUAGGGGAAUAAAAAAAUGCAGCAAUCCUAAUUUGCCCCACUAAUGAUCCCUUCCUCUCCCAUCAACUAAGCCUCCCCCUCCUUGUCAAUAGACUGAUCCACUAGGCCCCGCCCACUGUACAU